rnacentral:tRNA from 1 species
CCCCGAAUAGCCUUGCCGUUAAGGUAUUUGAUUCACAAUCAUUCACCCAGGGUUCGAUUCCCCGUGGGGA